CCGAGAUGCUGAGCGAGUUUACCCUUCCUUUGCAGGAUGAGGGAUAGGAGCCGAUCCAGGUCCAGACAAGGCUGGACUGAAAAACGGAGUGGUCAGAGCUUGGCCUCAGGGAUGCCCCCAGUGGCACCCGACUUCCUGUGCUCACAGCUGGAGGGUGGCUCGAGGCUGCCCCAGGCUGCAGCACCAACAGAGAGGCGGAAGGCAGGGAGCAAGGCUCUUUAGGUUCACGGAAGUGGCUUCAUUCUCAUGGAUCUGCACCUCCAAGUGCACCACACAGAGCUCUGCCUUCUGCAGACCGCAGCUCAGAGGCCAGGCUGGUGCUCCAUACCACACGCUCAAUGAUCUGGGUCUAAAGAAGGGGCUCAGUCGUCAGGGCUCGUCCUCAUUUAUUCUGCCUUUUCGGGCCUCAGCCUCUCCGGUCUUGGGGAGUGGGCCCAGGGUCUCUCACAGCUUCAGUAAACGCAUCUUUAAUAUACUGGCUUCACACCAGGCCCUGGGAAAACUGUGUCCUAAUGCCUAUGUUUUAAUACAAAUAAGGUAAUAGAAGUCUUUUAAACAUUAAAAUUAAUAGAGCCAACAGUAAGCGCAUUCCCCAGGACCACCAUUUAUACCCAUUGUCCAGACUUACACACGAGAAC
rnacentral:lncRNA from 1 species